rnacentral:rRNA from 1 species
UGGACAGUACUGACGCUGAGAUGCGAAAGCGUGGGGAGCAAACAGGAUUAGAUACCCUGGUAGUCCACGCUGUAAACGAUGUCGAUUUGGAGUUUGGGGGCAUGUCCUUUGGGCUCCGGAGCUAACGCGUUAAAUCGACCGCUGGGGAGUACGGCCGCAAGGUUAAAACUCAAAUGAAUUGACGGGGGCCCGCACAAGCGGUGGAGCAUGUGGUUUAAUUCGAUGCAACGCGAAGAACCUUACCUGGUCUUGACAUCCAUAGAAUCUUUCAGAGAUGAGAGAGUGCCUUCGGGAGCUAUGAGACAGGUGCUGCAUGGCUGUCGUCAGCUCGUGUUGUGAAAUGUUGGGUUAAGUCCCGCAACGAGCGCAACCCUUAUCCUUUGUUGCCAGCGGUUCGGCCGGGAACUCAAAGGAGACUGCCGUUGAUAAAGCGGAGGAAGGUGGGGACGACGUCAAGUCAUCAUGGCCCUUACGACCAGGGCUACACACGUGCUACAAUGGCGUAUACAAAGGGAAGCGAAGGAGCGAUCUGGAGCGGACCUCCUAAAGUACGUCUAAGUCCGGAUUGGAGUCUGCAACUCGACUCCAUGAAGUCGGAAUCGCUAGUAAUCGUGAAUCAGAAUGUCACGGUGAAUACGUUCCCGGGCCUUGUACACACCGCCCGUCACACCAUGGGAGUGGGUUGCACCAGAAGUAGAUAGCUUAACCGAAAGGGGGGCGUUUACCACGGUGUGAUUCAUGACUGGGGUGAAGUCGUAACAAGGUAACCAAGGGCGAAUUCCAG